rnacentral:rRNA from 1 species
UACAGAGGUCCCGAGCGUUGUUCGGAUUUAUUGGGCGUAAAGGGUGCGUAGGCGGCGGAGUACGUUGGGUGUGAAAUCCCGGGGCUCAACCUCGGAAUUGCAUUCAAUACUGCUUCGCUCGAGUACUGGAGAGGAGGCUGGAAUUUACGGUGUAGCAGUGAAAUGCGUAGAUAUCGUAAGGAACGCCGGUGGCGAAAGCGAGCCUCUGGACAGUUACUGACGCUGAUGCACGAAGGCCAGGGGAGCAAACGGG